rnacentral:rRNA from 1 species
UACGGAGGGUGCAAGCGUUAAUCGGAAUUACUGGGCGUAAAGCGUGCGCAGGCGGUUUGUUAAGUCCGUUGUGAAAGCCCGAGCUCAACUUGGGAAUUGCAGUGGAUACUGGCAGGCUGGAGUACGGUAGAGGAAGGUGGAAUUCCCGGUGUAGCAGUGAAAUGCGUAGAUAUCGGGAGGAACACCAGUGGCGAAGGCGGCCUUCUGGACCAGUACUGACGCUCAUGCACGAAAGCGUGGGGAGCAAACAGG